UGUAAGCGUAUACCAAAGUUGUUGCAGUUAAAACGCUCGUAGUCGGAAUUUGGCAGUUCCGGAUGUGUGCACGUCGUGUGCGCACUUCGCGGGGAUUGCUUUUGUGGUCUUGCGUAGGAUGAGGCACUUUUAUUAGUGAACGUCCUCACGCAACCACUUUUUACUGUGAGAAAAUCAGAGUGCUCAAAGCAGGCAUUUGCCGUGAAUGUAUUAGCAUGGAAUAAUAGAAUAGGACUUGGUUCUAUUUUGUUGGUUUGUUGGGACUGAGUAAUGAUUAAGAGGGACAGUUGGGGGCAUUUGUAUUUCGGUGCGAGAGGUGAAAUUCUUAGAUUACCGAAAGACAAACUGCUGCGAAAGCGUCUGCCAAGGAUGUUUUCAUUGA
rnacentral:rRNA from 1 species